UGGAUGGUUCAUGCAGUGUCCUGGGAAAUGAGGUCCUGAUCCAUGAAGGAUGUCUCUGCGUUAAAAGGAAUAAAGUGUAGCAACAAUCUUUGUUGAAAGCAGUUGAACAAGAGGGGGUCAUUUUUUGCUGCAGAUAGAGGAGGAGUAGGAUUUCACAGGAAAGCCUGGUCCCUCAAGCCCUUUAUAGAGUUUUCUUCUAUCAAAAAUCUUCAGUUAAUCCAUGAUGGGGAGCCUGGCUGUUUGCUUCGAAUGGAGGUGGAGCUGUUAUCGGGCGGAAGAGAUCAAAGGUUGUCCUUUUCAUAGCAAUUCAGGCCUCUGAGCAGCAAUUGCCAUGGAGAAGUGUCCGUCAUGGCUAUAAACUGGCUUUGAUCUGUCUGCUGUUUGGCUGAUAGAAGGUUAAAAAUAAAGAAGGAAUUUGCUUAAUUUUAGCCCAUUGUAGCAAACACAGGAAGCACAACAAUUCUCUCCUCACCUACUGAAGAUUACUACAGAAUCUACACAUACAGAACUAGAAACAAUUCUCCAGGGGGGAAAAAAAGGUCUAGAAAUCAAUAACAGAGUAAAACAGCAAGUCCCUGACCUCUAGCUCAUUAUUUUAAAUUGGUUGUAGUUUAGUAGUGAAUAAGUAUCUGUAGCAACGCAUGAAAAUGAACUUCUUGUGUCCCAGAACAAUUCUUUAUCAUCCAGACGUGGAAAAGGCACUGAAUUCUUCCAUGAAUCACUAGUGCUAUGCUGGACUGUUGUUGUUUUGUAGCAGUAUCUGCAAUUAAAGAAUUAGGCCUUCACUGCAUUUUCUGUGAUGGAGGCACCCAGCAGAAGACAGCAAGCUAUCUCAUUUGCCAAUGGGAGGGGGAUUGGCACUUCCAAAUGGGCCAUUCAAGCUAUCCUCAGGUAAAUGUCUGAGCGAGGUGCUCCUACCCUCCUUCAGGAGGCAGUUGUCUCCAUUUUUGAGACCGAAAGCCACAAGUAGUUCAGAUUAAUCACCUAAAGUUAGGAGCCUAGAGUAUGGUAAUGUUGCCCCCCUCCUUCAAAUCAACCAUGAAAUGCACAAAUUGAAAGUGUGAGACUGAUGUUUUUGUCCUGCGUUUUUCACCACGUGUGCACUGGACUGUUCUGUUUUGGUAGACAGAUUUCUUCAGUGCACUUAUGUGAAAAAAGCAUACAUGAAUAAAGCGAGCCUAGCAGUAGGCAGAAGUUAGUAAGGUUAAGCUGACCAUCAGUGUCUUGGCUGUAUAGCAAAUGUUUAUCUUAUUCUAAUGGGGUGGAGAUGCCAGCUAUCUCCUUAUUCCUGACAAAAGUGAUUUAGAGUCAUUUACAUCCAGGGUACAGUUCUAUAGGUAGUAGCUUUCUUUUGCUGGGAGUAUUUUAAGAUUUCAAGAGAUGCUCCUACACAAAAUCAGGAAGAAAAUUCAAACUUCCGAGCAGUUAAAAAAAAAAAAAAAGGGCUUUUCUUUCCCCAAUAUAUUA